rnacentral:misc_RNA from 1 species
ACAGAAACAGGUGAGCGUGAUGAGUAUGAACCUGUCGGCGAAACUGGAUGAGUUACAGCAUCGAGGCGACCGUCAUUUGGAGACCACGGUCGCGCUCUGCGAGAUCCGGACGCAACUCCAGGAAUUGACCCGCUCCGUAGAGUCGUGCCAGUCGGAGGUUUCUGAAGUGAAACGCGACAUGGUCGCCAUCAAACACGAACUCGACACCGUACAGCAGGUCAAGGAGGAGAUCGAGGAGUUGCGGGAAUAUGUCGACCGACUCGAAGAGCACACGCAUCGCAGAAAACUCCGGUUGCUCGAGCAGGGUCUUACGUUCUUCCUAUCGUAUGCAAUUUUUGCUGCGGUUUUGGGCAUGUUCCAGUUUGGCUAUAACACGGGCGUCACCAAUGCACCAGAGAAAACAAUAGAAAACUGGAUGAAGGACGUGUACAAAGCACGCUACGAUGAAGAUCUCAGUGACGAAUCGGCCGAGCGGAUUUAUUCGUUCGCGGUUUCUGUUUUCGCUAUCGGCGGUAUGCUCGGUGGUUUCGUAGGCGGUAUGGUCGCUAACAGGUUUGGCAGAAAAGGAGGUCUCUUGCUCAACAACAUAUUAGGUGUAGGUGGAUCGUGUUUGAUGGGCUUUACGAAAAUAGCCUCGUCAUAUGAAAUGCUCAUCAUAGGAAGAUUCAUUUUAGGAGUCAAUUGCGGGCUCAAUACGUCUUUAGUCCCUAUGUACAUUUCGGAAAUAGCGCCUUUAAACCUGCGCGGCGGUUUGGGCACAGUGAACCAGUUGGGCGUAACGCUCGGCCUCCUGAUAUCCCAGGUUUUGGGUAUCGAACAACUGUUGGGCACGAACGACGGCUGGCCUUAUCUUCUGGGACUCGCGAUAUGUCCUGCGAUCCUGCAACUCGUCCUUUUGCCGGUGUGUCCGGAAAGUCCUCGGUACCUUUUGAUCACGAAACAGUGGGAAGAAGAAAGCAGACGCGCACUGAGAAGGCUGCGAGCGAAUAAUCAAGUGGAGGAGGACAUCGAGGAGAUGAGGGCCGAGCAAAGAGCGCAACAGUCGGAAGCCUCAAUCAGCAUGAUGGAACUUAUAUGUUCGCCUACGCUCAGGGCGCCUCUUAUUAUUGGCGUCGUCAUGCAAUUGUCGCAACAACUCAGUGGCAUCAAUGCGGUUUUGUAUUACUCCACGAGUCUCUUUUUGAGUUCCGGUCUUUCCGAAGAGAGUGCAAAGUUCUCCACGAUUGGAAUCGGCGCCAUCAUGACCAUUAUGACAUUGGUGUCCAUACCGUUAAUGGACAGAACGGGCCGAAGGACUCUCCAUCUCUAUGGAUUGGGAGGAAUGUUCAUCUUCUCCAUCUUCAUUACCAUCUCAUUUCUUAUAAAGGAGUUUUUCGGUUACGUUCAGGAAAUGAUCGACUGGAUGUCAUAUCUUUCGGUGGUGUCGACGCUGGGCUUUGUAGUAUUCUUUGCGGUCGGACCAGGAUCCAUACCUUGGAUGAUCACUGCCGAACUUUUCUCCCAAGGGCCUCGACCUGCUGCCAUGUCUAUCGCCGUGCUUGUCAAUUGGAUUGCCAACUUCGUCGUAGGAAUCGGUUUCAUCUCGUUAAAGAGCGCCUUAGAUAACUACACGUUUCUCCCGUUCAGCUUCCUGUUGGCCAUCUUCUGGAUUUUUACUUACAAGAAGGUCCCCGAAACGAAAAACAAGACCUUCGAAGAGAUACUUGUCAUUUUCAGGCAUGGAAAUUGUAGGUCAAGCUUUCGGGAUAGUCGCCUUUAUGGGAGUAUGUUGAAUUGCGUAAAUGCCUUGGAACAACAUCUUCCAACUACAGAACAGGCUGGUCUCGUAAUAGCUGAAGAAAAACAAAUUCAACACGACUCAUUGAGGUUUGGUGUUCCUUCACGAGGUCCUGGAAAUUCAAUGGAACGACUGGACUUUGUGUUAGGGAUAGAGUCUUCAUCUAACGCUGUUUUGGUAUUCCUAUCUCGAAAUUGUGGGGGAUGUUUUUCAUCAGAUAUUCUAUGAGGAAGAGAUGAACCACUGGCUGUCACAAUGGUGUUUUUGAGUUCCUCCCUGGAAAUAAUGGGGGAUGUUCGUCAUCAGAGUUCCAUGAGGAAGGGAUGAACUGGUUCCCUGGAAAUAAUGGGGAUGUUCGUCAUCAGAUGUUCCAUGAGGAAGGGAUGAAGCACUAGCUGACACAAUGCUGUUUUGGAAUUCCUAUCUCGAAAUUGUGGGGGAUGUUUUUCAUCAGAUGUUCCAUGAGGAAGGGGUGAACCACUGGCUGUCACAAUGGCGUAUUUGACUGGAAAUAAUGGGAGAUGUUCGUCAUUAGAUGUGCUAUGUGGAAGGGAUGAACCAGUUGCCUGGAAAUGAUGGGGGAUGUUCGUCAUCAGAUGUUCCAUGAGGAAGGGAUGAACCAGUGGCUCCACAAUGGUGAGUGUCUUC